ACUUUUCGUUUUUUUUUUACCGUAGUCAACUUUCGCUAGCACAAAAAUUUCUCCCAAAAAAUAUGUUAAAAAUGACAGUUUGAAUAAUAUUUAUAAUUACACAAUUCGAUCAUAGAUAAAAUUUUUCGAUUAUAUAGUUUAUUUCCGAUUAGGGGAAACGAAAUUUAUUUUACCGUAGACAUACAGUAUUUUCCUUAGGGGUAUAAAAUAAUGUACACGAUACAAUUAAUUAAUUAAUCCCCUGAUCUCAUCGUUUCAGAAGAUUCAGAAAGAACUAUAAGUACUUCGUGUCAGAAAGAAACUAUACUAUAUAACAUUUAAAGACAUAUAACUUUUAGUUUGGAUGUCUAACUUUACAGAUCAUACAGACAUAUUAUAUUGACAGUCUGUUAGUGUUUUUUCAAAAAAUAUUUCCAUUCUUUAUAGUCUUAUUAAUUGGCAAGAAACUAUACUAUAUAUGAUAUGUUUAAAAGUGUUAGAAGGCCGAACCUUACAGCAUAGCUUUUGAAAAGGAAAGAUGAAGAGUUUUAGAGGAAAUGAGAAGAGGGAAGAAAACUAUACUAUAUAACAUUUAAAGACAUAUAACUUUUAGUUUGAAUGUUUAGAUAUUUAUAAAUAGUUGUUAUUGAAUAUUGGAUCCAAUUGUUUAUUUCACAAGUAAUGUUUUUUUGUAUACAUAAACUACAGCAUUAAAUUAUAAUAAAGCCAACAUGGUAAUAGUGUUAUGAAAGUUUACACACUAGAUUAAAAUACUCCUAUCCAAAAUUAAAAUGGAUUGUUUCAGGCUUAACAGUAAAGAAAAAAAUUAAAUGUAUACAGAUAAAAGAUACAGGUGUAAUGCAAUUAUACACAUGUACUGUUUAUAUAAUAUCAAUAUAUCAGUACGGUAUUAUACUUGGCAUUGAUAUGUUAUUUAUAAUUAAAAUAAGUCCUAAUAAUCUUGAAAAUUUAUCAAUGAACCAAAACACUUUUAAAUCAAAUUCUAAUUUCCUAUUGAUUCAAUGUACUGUAUGUUUAUUUCUUAUAAUGAGUAAUGACCUUAGUUACAAUUUUAUUUGUUUGUCUAUCAAAUGAAAUACUCUUAUUAUUAACAACCAAUUAAAAUCUGAAUUUAUAGGAUACAAUUAAUUAAUAUUAAAUAUUGUACAUGUGGAAGUAUUCAAAAAGAGAAUAUUUUGAAAGCAUUUAUUAUUUAACAUAUUUAUUAUAACUUUGAAAAUAACAGGAAGAGGCAUGCAUAAAUGCAAGGGAACUCAGCAACUUCAGCAGUAAAUGCUCAAGAUAUAGGCCUAUCUGAUGUAUUUGCAUCUGAAAUUCAUUGAAAUUGAUUGAUUACUUUUUAGUAAGUUAAUUUUACAUUGUCUUCUCUUGUUGUACUGUUUUAAUAACACAUAAAUGAUUGUAUUCAAAUAUUUUAUUUUUAUAUUAACAUCAAUCAUUUAUAGGCCUUAAUUGAUAUAUGUAUUCAAGUUAGCAAAGCCAACAGCCUCAA